rnacentral:rRNA from 1 species
GAUGAACGCUAGCGGCAGGCCUAACACAUGCAAGGUCAGGGGUAACGUAGGAAAGCUUGCUUUUCUGAUGACGACCGGCGCACGGGUGCGUAACGCGUAUACAACCUACCUUUUAGCGGGGAAUAGCCCAGGGAAACUUGGAUUAAUGCCCCAUAGUAUAUGGACUUCUCCUGAAGUUUAUAUUAAACAUUUAUGGCUAUUAGAUGGGUAUGCGUCCUAUUAGUUAGUUGGUAAGGUAACGGCUUACCAAGGCAGCGAUAGGUAGGGGUCCUGAGAGGGAGAUCCCCACACUGGUACUGAGACACGGACCAGACUCCUACGGGAGGCAGCAGUGAGGAAUAUUGGACAAUGGGCGAGAGCCUGAUCCAGCCAUGCCGCGUGCAGGAAGACUGCCCUAUGGGUUGUAAACUGCUUUUACAGAGGAAGAACCACCCCCACGUGUGGGGGUUUGACGGUACUCUGCGAAUAAGGAUCGGCUAACUCCGUG